CCCUUAGAUGUUCUGGGCCGCACGCGCGCUACACUGACUGCUCCAACAAGUUACCUGGGCUGACAAGCAUCCGGGAAAUCUUGCAAAGGCAGUCGUGAUGGGGAUAGAUUCUUGAAAUUUUUGAUCUUCAACGAGGAAUUCCUAGUAACGCAAGUCAUCAGCUUGCAUUGAUUACGUCCCUGCCCUUUGUACACACCGCCCGUCGCAUCUACCGAUUGAAUGGAGAGGCAAAAUCUUCGGACCGUGACGCUUGGGAGUCAAAUCUCGGGCUGUCGUGGGAAGUGGAUUAAACCUUUCUAUUUAGAGGAAGGUAAAGUCGUAACA
rnacentral:rRNA from 1 species